GCAGACACAUUCCAGCCAAUCAGCAGCAGACCCUCCCUCCCAGACCCUUCCACCUCCUGGACAGCUCACUAAGAAUGCAGCUUCACAAUGAAUGCAAAAUGGAUGCUGUCCAGGAGGUGGGAGGGUCUGGGAGGGAGGGUCUGCUGCUGAUUGGCUGGAAUGUGUCUG
rnacentral:miRNA from 1 species